GUGAAGCAAUGAAGGUGCAGUAACAAAAAGGGAUUCGUUUGGCCAUGCAGAUGUUCUUAACCUGAUUCUGUUUAGCAGUGCAGUGUGGAAAAUGGGCAUAGGCUGUUAUCUGAAGGAAUGCUUAGGCUCAUUUUUUCUUAGACUGAGGUUUUCUAGGUUAGCCAGGUUUUUGGAAAGUCCAAGACAUCCCUGCAUAAAAGACCCUGUGUAGUGGUGAAAAUUCCCGCCUGUCAUGUUUCUUGCAAGACUCACAGUGUAGUUUUGUCCCCUUAACCUCUGUGAUUCUCCUGAUCGUGAAGGACUACAAAGCUGGCGGCCUCAGACAGGGUCCUGCCGGCUCUUCCCGCAGGGGGCGCAGCAGCUUGGAGCUGGGGACCUUUGCCAGAGACCUGAAAAGCACCUGGAGGAAAGCUCAGUGGGCCAGAGCAGAAGGGUAUUUGAAUUCCUCCCCUUCCCUUCGUGUUUGGUAGGUAAACUUUCCCCAUGCCCUGUUGACAGAGUGGACGUUGUGAUGGAGCCCAGCAUCGUGAAGUCAGCCUGGAGGCUCUUGGAAGUGUGCUUGUGUGCAGGGAAGCAGAAGGGGAGUUCCCAGUUCCCGGUGGGCCUUGUCACUCUAACACAGUCAAAGGUCCACUCGGUUCCCUUUCAGUAACAGCCAUUUGAAACAAACGUAGGCUCCUGAGGUUAUCUUUAUUGAUGAACUAGUAUUGCUAAGAAAGAGGAGAGGUGCAGAAAGUGAGGGAGAGGGUAGGGUGACUGGUGGAGGGAGAGCAAAGGUGGGGCCAGGCUUCCUGUUGGGUGUGGGGCUGUGUGAUGGGUAGCAGGCUCCUGGAUAGUUGGAGUGGAUCCCAAAGGGCCCGUGCAUUCGGCGAGCGGGGAUUAGGAAAGCCCAGCUCUAGGUGAAAGAGCCUGAGGACUAGGCCACGGGGGGAUGGCCCUGGCUGAUUGGGAAUGCUGGCUGGGGUGAGACCUUGGGUGAGAUACCCUAGUUGCGGAUGGUAUGGAGACCCUUUGUCCCUGUUUUGUGGAGGAGGCAGAAGAGGAGGAGGGGAUCUCCCAGGAUGUGGCCUGUAGGAAGCGUGAGAAAGAACAUGGCUCCAGCUGUAGGAAGGGGUGGAGCCAUCAAGCCUUGUCUUGAGGGUGGGCUUAGGGGCGGUGAGUUGCAGGAGACCCUUGUGAAAACCUCUGAAUGAACUUCUGUGUCCUGAAGUUUUAAGUAAUAAUGCAUAUAUUUGUCUAAUUUGAAAAUAUCAUCACAUAGCUCAAAAUGUAGUUAACUUAUGUUUGUCAGAAAUAGCAUCUCCGUUUCAUAUAUUCUUAUAAACGCUGAUACAAGCAGACCCAGACCCCCAAAUUAGGAAUAAAGUGUCUUAAACUUUUUCUUUCAUGUGCCAAAGAACCCACACAUGUGCAGCCUGUUAGGUGAUCAUUUUGUUUCACUCCAGUUCUUUACUUUUGCCCUUCUGAGGCUGAGGCUCCAUACCUGAAGACACUCUCCAGGGGAAAUAUUUACAAUAACUAACACUCUACCUUUGUAUUAGGAAAACAAUGCCCUUAUCUACAUAGCACCUAGCCUCAAAAACCAGUUUCACAGAACACAGCCUUCCAAGUUCAUGAAUAAAUCAUAGGAUGCAAGAGCAUGUUUCAAAACAACUUCCAGUAGCUACAGAGUAUGGAAUUAACCAAAAGGACCUGACCAGUACACAGUGAAAAAGAGUCAGGUGUUUAAUGAGCUGCUUACACGUGAGGCACCUCACCUUCUGCAAGAUUUGGAAACAUAUUUAGGGGACAAAGAGUGGUUGACUGGUAACUCUGUGACUUGGGCAGAUUUCUACUGGGACAUCUGUAAUACCACACUCCUGGUCUUUAAACCUGACUUGCUGGACAGCCACCCGAGGCUGGGGACUUUGCGGAAGAAAGUCCAAGCCAUUCCCCGCAUCGCUGCCUGGGUGCAAUACAGACCCCAGACCAGACUCUAGCUGAUCUGUGCCAUCUCUGGCUUUGCUGUUCACAAUCAUCUCUCCCUCCAAACACGCCAGCUCCAUCACCUGCCCCAAUAGCCUUCCACACAUUCCCCACCCUACCUCCACCAGGACAUCCACUAUUGCCAUAUCCUGGAUUGAAAAAUAGUAUUGAGUUUUUAUUCUCUUUAUUUCUAAACAGUAGUUUCUCACCACUCAUGUUUUCUUGUUUUUUGAGACUGUAUCUUCCUAGGUAGUACAGACUGCCUUGAACUCACUUUUAGCCCUUGAAUUCACACAGAUAUUCCUUCCUUGUUCACCCAAGUGUUGGGAUUACAAGCAUCCAAGACCAGGCCUGGAAAAUUUCACACCAUUUAUCACUAAGGAAAAAUAGUUUACAUGUAGACAUACAAACUUGGCAGCUAGCUCUUUAAUCCACAGUUCUUUACAUUAAGAAUGUGCACAUGAGAAGUGAUGAUCUGUGGUGUUGGUGAUUUGCACAGACAGCAUAGGGUGCUAUUGAAUUGCUUUCUUGUGACCAAUUGAUAAAUCCAUUGGAUAUGUUGCAAAAUAAACAUACAGCAAAAGAACAAAAAAUGGAGUUAAAUUCAAAUCAAAUGUAAGUGAAGAUAUAGGAAAAGAGCUGCAUGUGUAGGGAAUAUCACACUGCUAGAGGUGAGCAGGUUCUAGACAGGAACUUACUGCGGGAAAUGUGAUUGGCAGAAAUAAGGAGGCUGGGUACUGGAGGCUGAACCUGAGCCUUUACACUGAGCUAUUAUUUUUUUAAAUUUUGAGACACGGUCUCCCUAAGCUGCUACGUCACUGAGACUAGGCUCAAACUUGUGAUCCUCCCAGAGUGCUGAGAUUACAGGUGUGCUUCACCAUACCCUUCUGGGAAGGUGGCUGUGGACCAAAAUGUUUUAAAGGGCUCAAGGAAUGAUACUGGCAAAA